GCCCCGGUGGUGUAGCCCGGUCUAACAUGUGGCCCUGUCGAGGCCACGCCUCGGGUUCAAAUCCCGACCGGGGCG
rnacentral:tRNA from 1 species